AUACCUUUCUCGGCCUUUUGGCUAAGAUCAAGUGUAGUAUCUGUUCUUAUCAGUUUAAUAUCUGAUACGUGGGUUAUCGACCCACAUGAUAUUAAAUUAAUUUUUUCAGGGGGUGGGCUCAACUGAUAGCUUGCUAUCAGGGCCUACGCGUGUCGCCCAUGUCUUGCACUCCUGCAUGGGCCUGGCGCACCCCAC